CCUCCCUAAAAAACCCUAGCCACCCCGAAUCAGUCUCAGCCCACUCCCGUGCGUGCUGGAUAGGGUUCCCCGCCACCCUCACCGGUCGCCGCCGCCCUCACCGGUCGCCGCCGCCGUCGGUUUCCCCUACAUGGCCAGAGGAUAGGCCAUCCCGCCGGUCCAUUCCCACCCCACCACGAGGGAGGAGACCGACCGGUUGCGCCUCCCCGCCGGUCGCCGCCCGCCACCCCAAGGAUCAAGGCCGGCCGCGCCGGUCCCCGUCGGUCGCUGCUCCGGAUCCAGGCCGCCCACCGCCCCGCCCCCGUCAGCCCGAUCUAUUUCCCACCGGAUCCCAUCUUCGCCUCCGUCCGACGCGCCUUCUUCAAGGAGCUGCGACCCCAUGUCUCAGAGGAGCUAUCCCCGACGCCAUUGAUGCCCGAGCGACGCUCCCAAGCUAUGACGUACCCCGCCGCAAGGAGGCCAGGAGGCCUCCAUGGAGGCCCGUCCCGAGCUCGCCUCGCUGCUCCUCCGGUGACCCUCGUUGCGCCUGGAUCCGGGCGGAUCCGACGAUUCCCCGAUGCGCAGGCGGGCCGGCACGCGGCGCUAGGCGAAGGAGCCCUCCCAUGGCGGUGUCAAUUGCAUGCUGCAGUAGCUGGGAUAGAUGGUAGCAGUGGUGGUCAAGACGACAAGUGACAGCGGGCGCACCUGAUACCAAGAUGCCAAGGUGGUCGUGGGUCUCGCGCUCGGACAGUUCAUCUUGCUGCUUAUGACCUCCAUCAGAUUCUCCUCCGAGCUUGCCUGCCGAGAUGCCAGCACUGCUUGUUUGUAUAGAUGCUCAAGAAGACUGCUCAAAGGAGGACAGUUUGUAGGACAGUUUGUGUGACAGUGAGUAACAUGCCCCCUCCUUCUCUAGCUCCUCUUUCUUGCUUGACUGGGUUGCAUUGCAAGAAUUACUAUGCAUAGGUAGCUGCAGCUGUGCACAUAUUUUUAUCAAAUUGCAUUCUAGCUUUGAUGUUGCAGAUGCGAGCACUACCUGUUUGUAUAAAUGCUGAAGGAGAAAACUGUUCGGAGAAGGACAUGUGUGAGAGAGAGAGAGGGAAGGAGAAACAGGGGCCGGGAGUAAGAGGUGAAGAGCAAGGAGAACCACAUGUUGUCCCUUUGUCAUCGACACCAUCCCGCCGUUGCAGGCUUGUCCCCAUGGCCUCUCUCUUGUGAGCUGUUACCCUGCCCUGGUUCUUUGUCUCUGCCUCUUUCAUGGUUUCUUCCUUUCGAAGAUUUCUUUUUUGUCUCCCUUCUAAAGGUAAGUUCUGCCUUAGCAUCCUUCAUGUUGUAACACAAACAAAAUAUUAGUGAUCUGACAGCAACACCAUUUUCUGUUGAGUUAUUUAAUUUAGAUGAUUGCUGCUAUACAACUUGACUGCCAAAGUCUGUAGCAUUUUCUACUUGAUAAAUAAAGAACCAGGUCACACCAUUUUCUUUACUUUAUUAUUCAGAUUAUAUGCAGGAGUUUUGGUGUGGAUUAUAGAUUCUAAAGUUACUCUUAGCUUGUCAGCUUUGUUGAUCCUAAUUUACGAUGUUCACCAAGGAUUAUAGACCAUGGUACCUUCAUCUGUUGUCGACAAUUUCCUCUUUCAGAUUUGAUGUUAGUUUGUACAAGCUAGUGGGUUGUGCUUAGAUGGUAUGGUUUCUCUGCUAUUUAGAAACUACACUUAACACUCAUAAAGUACAAUGAUCGGAUCCUAAACUGAAAUAUUUAUUUUGGCGGGUUUAAAAUUUGAUGUGGGAUGGGCAUACGAGUUUGAUGUUUGCAGUCCUCUCAGAGCUGCAAGUCGCUCGACAACACGACAAAUUCAGUUACAGAUUUUUACCAAAUCUAACUGAAAUAAAGUUCAGUUCAGCAAACCAUGUCUGUUGGAAGGAAGCAAAUUUCUUGCCUUCCGAAUCCUACGUAGCCAUCAUAUUUUAUUUCAGACUGAAUAGUCCCAGCUCAGUGUAUCCUUGCUAAAAUAAGAACAUCAUUUUUUUAGGGGAUGCCACAAAACAAAAACUGACCAGGACUGCAUCUCUCAUAUUUUCUUGCUUAGAUUGUUAAUCUGAAUUCGUGUUUGAUAUUGUAGUAUGGAGGUUUCACCAUGAUGCAUGUUCUGUUGUCGUUUGUUUUCCAACUGCUUUGAUAUUAAUUUACAAGAUAGUAAGUUUUAUACAUGUGGUUGGAUGUCAAUCUUUACAGUUUGAUGACUAGAUUUAUCCAAGGAAGAAAAACUGAUAUUACUAAUUAUGUGAUAUAUAGAUGCAGAUCCGAGUUGCCAUAAUGGAAUAUGGAUGGACAACACAAAAUAGCCCAGUUCCUUAAUUUUGUGUUUGAUGGAAGUAUAUGGUUCAGCCUGUACUGUCCAACAUAAAUUGACACAAACCUGUGCGCGUUUACUCUGAACGAUAACAAUAGUCUUGCAAGCUUGAUCCCCAUCAUAAAUCGAAUACUCUUGAUUUGCUUCAGAUGACGGAAGCUUGGGUUGAUGGAGUGCUUGUCUUUAGUUUUUGUUUUGACUUUGUGAAACUUGCUACCUAUGAUGAAAUUGUGUAAUAUUGACGAAACUAUGUAUAUGUAUGGAUGAAACUUGCUACUAUUGGUAACAUGUGUUGGAUAUGUGUUUGAUAUAUAUGUGUUCAUGACUAUUGGUAAUAUGUGUUGAA